UGUCCUUCAGUUUAAACUCCAAGUACUCGUUCUCAUUCCGUUAAUUUUUUCACAGGUCUUUUAUGACGGCUGGUUGUUGAGGCCGGAAUCAUAGUUUAUCAAGCCAACCUAUCAAGAGACUCUCUUCUGCUCUUCCUUACUUCCGCACUUUCAUUCAUUUCUGAACUUCUCGGAGUGGAAAGGAGUACACCCGUAGAGCGAGCAAGUUGAAUGCAAGUUGCCGUAGGCAGUGUUUCAGAGGCCCAAAGGCAUUCCAGACGAGUUCAAUCAACACACAUCGAAUUUACAUACUCCACAGAAACAUCCAAACAUGAAUGGAUCGAUACUUCCAAUCUGCCUGGCUCUAUGUCUGGCUGGCUGGGCUGUAUCUGGCGCUUCUAUUGAAGCUCAGAAGACCUCCUCUGUCUGUUACCUCUGUAACGAUACUCAAUGCCAAAAUAUUGAGUCUGUUUAUGACCAUUUGACGACUAAUUCGACCCUGUGGUCACGAGGUGAAAUGGCUAAGCUGCCUCCCUGUCCCACAACCUCCCCUCCACCAUCUGGAAAAUGCUUGUUGUGUGUUAAGAGUCAGGAGGUCUACACUGCGUGUGACUCAAAGAUCAUCAAGCCAGCCUUUGAGGGCCAAGGCAGCUCCAUGCCUGUCAUCGAAGCCAAUUGCACUGACAUUGUUUCAACUGAUCAGACGGAUCCAAUUGCCCCCACAAUGACCCCUGAUGGCACUGGCAGGUUAUCCAAGGAAACAAGAUUCGCUAUUGUGUCAAUCCCAAUUGCCUUCUCCGUCAUCUUCAUACUCAUUGUUGUUUUGCGCAGAAGGACCAGAUCAAGUGUUGUCUGGUGUCCACAUCAGAUGUCCACUUCAGAAGUCCCCUCAGAGCAGCACCAGACCCAGUUAUAGUUAUUAAAGAGAAAGGUUGACAUUGUGUAAGACAAGGAAAAGAGGAAGUGAUGGACCUGAAUGUUGUCUACUUCCUGGCUAUGGUUCAAACUUGAGGAAACCGUAAGCUCUGUUAGAAAGCCAGGUUGUUACAUUUUGAUAGCUUUUACUCUGCACUUUUGCAGCAGGGUACAUGAGUGUCUUGGGAUUCCUAGGGCCUGGAAGUAAAGUCAGGGAGAGAUCUCAGUGACAGACUUACACAGAGGGUCCUGCCAUUUUAAACCACAUACUUUUUGAUUAGCCAAGUUUGCGUGUUUUGCACGUCUAUAUGGUUGAUUGAAACAUAUGGAGUUAAUGAUUACGUUAUGUUUUAUUUAUAUUAAUGUAUUUUUAUUAUGUUUUUACCAUUGAUAGUGUUUGCAAGGUACUGUAAUUGCAAGUGCUUCUCAUCGAAUGUGCGCUUCCCUUGUCUAUUGUCAGAAUAAAUAACACCAAAGAACUGGG
ensembl:lncRNA